UACAGAGGUCUCAAGCGUUGUUCGGAUUCAUUGGGCGUAAAGGGUGCGUAGGUGGCGCGGUAAGUCGGGUGUGAAAUUUCGGAGCUUAACUCCGAAACUGCAUUCGAUACUGGCGUGCUUGAGGACUGGAGAGGAGACUGGAAUUCAUGGUGUAGCAGUGAAAUGCGUAGAGAUCAUGAGGAAGACCAGUGGCGAAGGCGGGUCUCUGGACAGUUCCUGACACUGAGGCACGAAGGCCAGGGGAGCAAACGGG
rnacentral:rRNA from 1 species